rnacentral:rRNA from 1 species
GAUGAACGCUGGCGGCGUGCCUAAUACAUGCAAGUAGAACGCUGAAGGAGGAGCUUGCUCUUCUGGAUGAGUUGCGAACGGGUGAGUAACGCGUAGGUAACCUGCCUGGUAGCGGGGGAUAACUAUUGGAAACGAUAGCUAAUACCGCAUGACAACAGUUAUUGCAUGAUAACUGUUUAAAAGGGGCAACUGCUCCACUACCAGAUGGACCUGCGUUGUAUUAGCUAGUUGGUGAGGUAACGGCUCAACAAGGCGACGAUACAUAGCCGACCUGAGAGGGGGGUCGGCCACACUGGGACUGGGACACGGCCCCGACUCCUACGGGAGGCAGCAGUAGGGGAUCUUCGGCAAUGGACGGAAGUCUGACCGAGCAACGCCGCGUGGGUGGAGAAGGUUUUCGGAUCGUAAAGCUCUGUUGUAAGAGAAGAACGAGUGUGAGAGUGGAAAGUUCACACUGUGACGGUAUCUUACCAGAAAGGGACGGCUAACUACGUG